rnacentral:rRNA from 1 species
CGGCAGCUACCAUGCAGUCGAGCGGUAACAGGGGGUGCUUGCACCCCGCUGACGAGCGGCGGACGGGUGAGUAAUGCAUAGGAAUCUGCCCAGUAGUGGGGGAUAGCCCGGGGAAACCCGGAUUAAUACCGCAUACGCCCUUUGGGGGAAAGCAGGGGAUCUUCGGACCUUGCGCUAUUGGAUGAGCCUAUGUCGGAUUAGCUAGUUGGUGGGGUAAAGGCCUACCAAGGCGACGAUCCGUAGCUGGUCUGAGAGGAUGAUCAGCCACAUCGGGACUGAGACACGGCCCGAACUCCUACGGGAGGCAGCAGUGGGGAAUAUUGGACAAUGGGGGCAACCCUGAUCCAGCCAUGCCGCGUGUGUGAAGAAGGCUUUCGGGUUGUAAAGCACUUUCAGUGAGGAGGAAAACCUUCUGGUUAAUACCCAUGAGGCUUGACGUUACUCACAGAAGAAGCACCGGCUAACUCCGUGCCAGCAGCCGCGGUAAUACGGAGGGUGCAAGCGUUAAUCGGAAUUACUGGGCGUAAAGCGCGCGUAGGUGGUUUGAUAAGCGAGAUGUGAAAGCCCCGGGCUUAACCUGGGAACGGCAUUUCGAACUGUCAGG